rnacentral:tRNA from 1 species
UGCGAGGUGGGGAAGCUCGGCCGUUCCCGCGGGUCUCAUAAGCCCGAGAUCGCCGGUUCGAAUCCGGCCCUCGCUCCC